rnacentral:rRNA from 1 species
CAGGACGAACGCUGGCGGCGUGCCUAAUACAUGCAAGUCGAACGGUCUUUCUAUGGAAGCUUGCUUCCACUGAGAAGAUAGUGGCGAACGGGUGAGUAACACGUGGGUAACCUGCCCAUAAGAGGGGGAUAACAUCCGGAAACGGGUGCUAAUACCGCAUAGUUUUCUUGAUCGCAUGAUCGGGAAAGGAAAGACGGCCUUUGUGCUGUCGCUUAUGGAUGGACCCGCGGCGUAUUAGUUAGUUGGUGAGGUAACGGCUCACCAAGACGAUGAUACGUAGCCGACCUGAGAGGGUGAUCGGCCACAUUGGGACUGAGACACGGCCCAAACUCCUACGGGAGGCAGCAGUAGGGAAUCUUCCGCAAUGGACGAAAGUCUGACGGAGCAACGCCGCGUGAGUGAAGAAAAGGUUUUCGGAUCGUAAAACUCUGUUGUCAGAGAAGAACAAGUUGGAGAGUAACUGCUCCAGCCUUGACGGUAUCUGACCAGAAAGCCACGGCUAACUACGUGCCAGCCGCAGC